CUUAGUACGGCGAGUGAAGCGGUAAAAGCUCAAAUUUGAAAUCUGGUACUUUCAGUGCCCGAGUUGUAAUUUGUAGAAUUUGUCUUUGAUUAGGUCCUUGUCUAUGUUCCUUGGAACAGGACGUCAUAGAGGGUGAGAAUCCCGUUUGGCGAGGAUACCUUUUCUCUGUAAGACUUUUUCGAAGAGUCGAGUUGUUUGGGAAUGCAGCUCAAAGUGGGUGGUAAAUUCCAUCUAAAGCUAAAUAUUGGCGAGAGACCGAUAGCGAACAAGUACAGUGAUGGAAAGAUGAAAAGAACUUUGAAAAGAGAGUGAAAAAGUACGUGAAAUUGUUGAAAGGGAAGGGCAUUUGAUCAGACAUGGUGUUUUUUGCAUGCACUCGCCUCUCGUGGGCUUGGGCCUCUCAAAAAUUUCACUGGGCCAACAUCAAUUCUGGCAGCAGGAUAAAUCAUUAAGAAUGUAGCUACUUCGGUAGUGUUAUAGCUUUUUGGAAUACUGUUAGCCGGGAUUGAGGACUGCGCUUCGGCAAGGAUGUUGGCAUAAUGGUUAAAUGCCGCCCGUCUUGA
rnacentral:rRNA from 1 species